rnacentral:tRNA from 2 species
GCCCAGGUGGCGAAAUGGUAGACGCGCUAGUUUCAGGUACUAGUGUCAGUGAUGAUGUGAAGGUUCGAGUCCUUUCCUGGGCACCG